rnacentral:rRNA from 1 species
GGUGAACACGGAGCUUGCUCUGUGGGAUCAGUGGCGAACGGGUGAGUAACACGUGAGCAACCUGCCCCUGACUCUGGGAUAAGCGCUGGAAACGGCGUCUAAUACUGGAUACGAACAAGAAUCGCAUGGUUACUUGUUGGAAAGAUUUUUCGGUUGGGGAUGGGCUCGCGGCCUAUCAGCUUGUUGGUGAGGUAAUGGCUCACCAAGGCGUCGACGGGUAGCCGGCCUGAGAGGGUGACCGGCCACACUGGGACUGAGACACGGCCCAGACUCCUACGGGAGGCAGCAGUGGGGAAUAUUGCACAAUGGGCGAAAGCCUGAUGCAGCAACGCCGCGUGAGGGAUGACGGCCUUCGGGUUGUAAACCUCUUUUAGCAGGGAAGAAGCGAAAGUGACGGUACCUGCAGAAAAAGCGCCGGCUAACUACGUGCCAGCAGCCGCGGUAAUACGUAGGGCGCAAGCGUUAUCCGGAAUUAUUGGGCGUAAAGAGCUCGUAGGCGGUUUGUCGCGUCUGCUGUGAAAUCCCGAGGCUCAACCUCGGGCCUGCAGUGGGUACGGGCAGACUAGAGUGCGGUAGGGGAGAUUGGAAUUCCUGGUGUAGCGGUGGAAUGCGCAGAUAUCAGGAGGAACACCGAUGGCGAAGGCAGAUCUCUGGGCCGUAACUGACGCUGAGGAGCGAAAGGGUGGGGAGCAAACAGGCUUAGAUACCCUGGUAGUCCACCCCGUAAACGUUGGGAACUAGUUGUGGGGUCCAUUCCACGGAUUCCGUGACGCAGCUAACGCAUUAAGUUCCCCGCCUGGGGAGUACGGCCGCAAGGCUAAAACUCAAAGGAAUUGACGGGGACCCGCACAAGCGGCGGAGCAUGCGGAUUAAUUCGAUGCAACGCGA